rnacentral:lncRNA from 1 species
UAUUCUUUUUCCUUGCCUGUCUUAUUCAAAUUGCCAGUUUGACCAAUGUAGAAACACUGACUUAUCCAGUUGUUUCAGUUCUGUGAAGCUUCCCUAUUGCAAAGCUCUUUACAGAAAAGUUUCAAUGUGUUGAAAUAAGCGAUAAACCUUGGAGCCAGUUUCAUGUUUAAAUUCAGAAUAUGGCACUUCCUAGCAGCAGAGCUUUGGGAAAGUGACGUCACAGAGUAUUAGUUUCCUCCUCUGGCAAAUGGACAACAGUACCUAAUUUCUAGAGCAAUUACAAUGAUAGAUUGAGGUAACGCUCAUAACUGUUAGUACAGCACCUGGUGCUUAGUAGAUGCCCAGUGAAUGUAAGCUCAUGGUAUCAUUCCCUCCCUUUGCUGGACCGUGGACAAUGGCAAAGGUGGUGGGGAGCAUUUGAACCAACUCCCCAUAUAUUCCUUGGGUAUAUACUACAGGUGUAACAUUAAACCCAGUCCUCUUAGAAUACGGAGACCCAUCUUAAGGAUGAUUCUUUAGGAAAACUUAAAAGAGUGAGCAGAUUUAAACUGGUAUUUGAAAGAUGAUGAGCUUUGGUUUCAGAGGGCAAAAGGAAGUCAUUCCGCUUAUACAGUGCAUCCUGGGUGGACUCACUGGUUCUCAAUAUCCAUUCAUUCUUUCUUCCUUUUACUAAUGCACCUCCUACUACAUCCCUGUCCCUCAGUUUAGCUCAGAUGUGGCUACCUGCUACUUCUAUGACCUUUUUUUUUUCUUUGCCUCCAGGAACGACCACAUGAAUAAGUUCUGAACAAUAGGAUGUGACAAGAAGCACUGUUGUGGAUCACUUCUCAAAAUGAAUUUACUUGUUCUGUGUGUCUUCUUCCCCUCUCUUGAGGAUUGGCAUGGGAGUAUGAUGGGGAAGAGUCAUCUUUGCUCAUAAAGACAAUGGGGGAUGAUGAAGCAAUAGAAAGAAGAAACUGGGUUCCUGGUGACUUUGUUGAGCACAGCCACCCUUCCCAUCCAGACAGCCCAACAGCUCCACUCCUCCUUCCAGUUAAGCCACUGCUGUUUGAUCUCCAUUAUUACAACUAAACCAGUAUCUUCACUAAUCAUAUCCUGAGGAUGUAGGUGCAGGUGAAAAUGAGCCUAACACAUGUGGGGACAGAAAAGGAAUGGGUCUGAGUGGAAAAAAGGGAGGGUAUUUGAGAGUAAUAGGUAAAGGCAAACAGAGCACAGACUUACUUCUAGAUUCUUGAUGGGAGGAAGGCUAGGGAUUCUGAGAAGAGAGCAAAGCAAAUAAAGCCUUCCUACCCACAUGCCACCAAAAAAGCAUGGAAUAAAAUGAAAGAUAAUCCAUGGAAAAAAGCCAAGAAGACACAUUCCUCUCAUUCCAAUUCAACUCAGCAUCAGCUCAACUCAUAGGAGGAGGGCUCUAAGAACAAGGUCCAACACCAUCCUCACUAAGGGGUGGUUCUGUUUCUGUUAAUUGACCAGCUGCACAGAUGGGAAGUGAGGAUGAACUGAGGCAUCCCAGUCCAUUCUGAAUAGCCCUUUGCAAGCUCUGACUUGCACCGAUCAUAAUCACUUUUCCCUAUUGUUCUAUUUCCACCUUCUAAGGCCACAAAGAGCAAGUAGAAUCCUUGCAUAACUCUUGCUUCAAAUGACAGUCACUCCCAUGUGUGAUGGUGGCUCCCAUGGAGUCUCAUCUUAUAGAGGCAAACAACUCUUUCAUUAAGUCCUCAUAUUUAUACAUUUCUAUUUUUGUCUUUGCAGACAGAAUUCCCACCAAGGCUGUGCAGCCAUGGGCAAACAAGUUUCCUUGCCAUCCCAGCUUCUUUAUCUGAAAAAUGAAGAAGCUUGACUUUUCUAUUUACAAGUCCUCGUGUCAAAUACUUCUGGGAGGCAAGAAUGUAUACGGGGUGUUGGACAAUAGGGAAUGAUGAUAAUCGUGGUGAACUGGAAACUACAUACUUGACCUAAGGACAUUAAUGUUAAAUUUUGAGUUUUGUUUAUUGCCUGCUAGUGUUUGCUUUUUGGUAUUAAAGCUACAUUAGCCAUGUAAGCCACACCUGAAUGCUAGAUAUAGGCAAGUUUAUAAAUUCUGGUCUGAAUGAUCUUAAGGACUUCUCUAGCCCUAAAAUUCCAUUAUUCUUUUAAGGUGUCCCAUUUUACAGAGUGGACUCCAACUAGGCCUAUCUUUUGUGCCAAAGGGAGCAGAUACACCCUUGUGCUGGACAUCCUCCGUUUGCCCUUCCAGAUUGCUUUUCCAUUCUUCUCCACCUUGCUCUGUGCCCUGGAAUCUAAUUGUUAAGGACGCCAUCAAGCUGAGCUCAUUGAAUUCUGAGUUCUAGUUGGAACUGGCCAAUGAGAGUGCUAGCAUGAAACAGGCAGGUGAGAGGAGAGAAAGGUUAGCCCCUCCCUAUUUAUCUGCUGGUUGGCAGUGGCUGGGUUCCUGUAAUAAGGCCACAUCCGCUGUCUGCUGGCCUUACCCUAUGGCUACAUGUCUCAAUGGUUCAGAUAACCAUCCCUUCCUUUCCCUUUCAGGCCAAGGGACAUAACUGGCUGCCCACUGGUCAGCCUCCUGGGGCAGGCACAGAAGGGUGGAGGGAAGACCUCAUUAAAUAAAGACAUCCAGCACACCAAAACAGGCAGAAAGCAGACAUGAUAACGAGAUUGCCACCUAUUUACCUUCUUGUAACCAUAAGAAUGAGGGAAGCUUCAUUCCGACGGAGUUCGACCAAAAUAGAGAAGAAGUUGUAAGGGUACGUGUAACCACUCUAGAUUGGAUACUCCUGCAGCUAAUGAUAUGAUAAUGAGAAAAAUCAUAUGCAACUGAAGUGGAUAUUUCAAUAAAGAGUUGAGCAACAUGUGGUCUAGUUAGGACCAUCUUGGAAAGACUUUGGGAGGUAUUGGUGGAGUAGAUGUGGAGAAGAGUUAGCUUAUUCAGAGAAUUAUACUGAAAUUACUCCCUCAGAAAAACCUUGGAUCUACCAGAGCUUGUUUCUUUGCAAACUUGCUCAUAGGCCAUGUAAAUAAAACUGAAUGUCAUCUGGUGAAUGAUGAAAUGAAGGAAAUAGAAUCAGAGAGGUGGUGAGAUAUUAAAUCACAUAGGUCUGUUGGAAAAUUUUGAAAGGAGGAGCAUGUGAUUUGACUUACAUUUUAAUAGGCUUGUUCAGGAAAAUGUGUGAAGAGAUUGUACAGGGACAUGACUGGAUGUCGAGGACCAGGUAAGAAGCUAAUGCAAUAAUUUAGGCAAAAAGGAUGAUGGUAACAGUGGAGGUGGUGAGAAGUGGCCACAUCCUCAGUAUUUUUGUAAGUAAUACUAUGGAAUCAGCUGAAUAAGUGGAUAUCAGGUGUGAGAAAAGGAGUGAAAAGAAGCCCAAAGGUUUCAGCCUAAGCAAUGGAAGGAUAAAGUUGACAUUUGUUAAGGCAGGGAAGACUGUAAGUGAAGCUGUAUUUUAUCUGGGGUGAAGGGAGAAAUCAGGAGUUUGGUUUUGAACAUAUUGGCUUUGAGAUAUAUAUUAGACAUUCAAAUGGAAAUAUUAAAAAGGUUAUUGGAUAUAUACAGGUCUAGAAUUCAGUGUAGAAGUGUAUGCAGGAGACACCAAUCUGGAUAUUAGCACAUAAACAGUAUUUAAAACUACAAGACUGUAUGGGGUUACCAAAAAAGUGAGAAAAGCAGAAUCCUGGACCACACCGCAGUUCAGAGUUUGGAAAAAUGAGGAAGAGCCAGUAAAGGAAAACUGAGGAUUGGUCAACGAGGUAGAAAGAAAAACCUCUGAUGGAAUUGCAACAUGGGCAGAAACCAGAGGUAGGAAGGCAGGCAACCCUUGCAUAAAAAUAUCCACUCACCAACUGUUCACCAACUGUUCUUCCUCUUGCUGGCAUACCUUAUGCAGCAUCCUCAGAUGCCAGAGCGCGUUUCUGCUGCAGCCUCCACGAUGCCUGGGCUGAUAGCAAUCAGGUCCUGCUAUGCUUCUUUCAGGAAGAGCUGACCCCUGGAAUCUGGGCUAGACUUGCACUUGUUUUGGCCAUUGGAAUAUCAAGCUGACUUUUUGUGGGCUCUGGAGACUAGGACCUAAAAGGAGGAAUGUUGCCCCCUCAUCAUUAUGUAAAGAAGCUGGCGCAACCUGCUGGAGGAGAAUAUGCCACCUGGGGAAGAACUGAGGCACCCAGCCAACAUCCAGCACCCACCACUAGACAUGAAAACACUGGUCGGUUACUAAUGGAGAAGAAGAAAAAGCAGCAAAGACAACGAGUAUACUUGGGAUGCGAUCGCAUGCCUGGAGCAUCUGAGUAUUGGUUGGAAAGAGGUAAAUCAGGCACCAUUUCUCCAUGAUGUGUCAGGACCUGAAUCUGUCAUUUGCGAGCCUGACCUCAUAACUCAGCCAAGCCAAGCUGCAAGGCACCCUGGGAACCCAUCACUGAAAGACUGCAGAGGGAGGAAGGCAAGGGCAGGAAUAGCCAGCUGGUCAAGCAGCAGAGUGUCUCCUCAGCUCCCAGGAAAUGGUGUCUAAGGGUGAUGAUGAACUGGGACUUCAUCUGAGUCCAAAAUAAUGAUGCUGCUGAUGCAACAGCAGAACUUAUUAAACACUUACUACUGCAUAUGCCACUAUGAGGUAGACUUACAGAGAAUAAGUUACUCUCCCAUAAUCACACAGCCAGUAAAUGACAGAAAUGGGAUCCAAUCCAAAUAUGUUUCAUUCUAAAGCCCAUGCUCUUCACCAACAAAGCCCAACUUGAUUUAAUUUAUCCCCAAACAUACCAACAUCCAUUUGUUAGUUCCCUUCCCAAUUUAACUUUAAGCGUCUCACAUACAUACACUGUUUUUAUCCUAACAACAAGUUGGUGAGGAACUGAGCUCAGAGAGGUUAAUCCACCCACUGAAAGGCACCCAGUGUUUAAGAGCAGAGGGAGGGGCCUGACACAGGUCUUUCGGAGCAUGACAUGCAUGUUCUGUCCACAAGGCCUGUUGCUGCCUUUCCCCCAGAGGUCCAGACUGAGGACGGGACAGAGUAGAUAAAGACAGCAGUGUGAGAGGAGGCAGUGGGCAAUAUGGGGAAUCUAGGGGCAGCAGUAUGCUGGUCCCAUAUAAUCAGGCCCGGGGGAGGGGCCCAGACAGAGGGUGGCAGACUCUCUGUACUCCAGCAAGACAAUCCCAGAAGAAAUGCCAGAGAGAUCAAUGAGAAGGCCAGUCAUUUACACUGGGCACACACACAGUGUUUAGGGUACUCAGAUAGGUACCCAGGCCUCACCCCAGGCUGUUUGGACACCAGGAGUCAUAGCACUCUUCCAGGCCACAACUGCUACUUGGGGUGGGAGGAGAGGAUGAGACGUGGCAUUUGUGGAAUAAUGACUGUGGCCAAGCAGUGGGCUCUGUAUGAUGCCAUCGUCAAUUCUCACAGCAAUUCUACAACAUAGGUUUUGUUACUUCUCUCUCACGCUUUACCCUAAAUUUCUCCUGCCUACCACAGUGCUUGGCACACACAAACAGAAUAAUAAUGUGUGGAACUGACUAAUUCAUUUUCCAUUCUGCUGGUCAGGGAGAAAUUAAUAGAGGCAGAGGCUAUUAAUAAAACAUUACAUUACCUCCAAUGAGUGUGGAAUAAUUCUCUAAAAUACUGACAAUCAG